CGGAACACAAAGCUCAUUCCCAGCUGGAGCUGCCCGGCUACCGAGGCCGCUGGCGUCCUCUCCGCGCCUGCGCGCUGGCCCUGCCUGGCUGCGCGUCCUUAAUUCCCUUCCGCCCCGGGGCCGGAAGUGGAUCGGAAGCGCAGACCAGAGAGCCUCGUGGGCCCUCGCGUCUGUCCGCUUGGAACAGCUCAGGAAUCGCGGAAGCUGUGAUCUUCGCCAGGGUGGGCAACCUGUUCUGCUGCUGCCUCUCGGAUGCUGCCCACAAAGCUUUCCUGCUGCUGAAGGAGGUCAGAGGCAGAAA
ensembl:lncRNA